GGAUUUUUGAAGGCGUUUACUUUGUGCUAGCGGAAUCCUAUACAAAUAGGAACGAGCUCGAAAGCACAAUUCAGAAUUUAGGAGGAACUUUCGGCGACAAAAUAAUCAACGGAAAUGGGCGAACAGUUUAUGUAAUUUGUUCAAAGGAGGGACCACAUAACACAAGUAUCAUUAAGGAAGCACAACAGAAAGGGGUGCCCAUCGUUCACGAGAAAUAUGUUGAAGAAUGUGCAAAGGGAAAUGAACUCCUCGCUUGGUUUAAAUUUGCCCUCAAGUCGCAAUAAAGGCGUUUGAAUAGUCUCGUUCCCAAUACUACUCAGUACUACAUAUGUUUGGUACAAGGUCUUCAUUGAAGUCUAGGAUUUGAAUAUAAUGGUAAAGAUGGGACUAUUCUCAACUCUCAUCCUGACAAAUGGACCUCGCUUACAACAUGUUGUAACGAUAGACAACAACGAAAAGCCACAUCUACAAGUUUUUAAAACCACUAACGUCAGAAAAUAUUGACUAUCAAAAAUUAAUGUCUAUUCCUUUUGAUAUUCAAACUUGAUGCAUUCACUACUACCAUUAGUCAUUAUAUGUUAGAUUUCAUAAAUAUAUUGGGCCGUGUUAUAUAUGGAAUUUUUAUGUAAAAUUUUAAUUAUCAUCACAUCAUUUCAAAUAAACUUUAAAUUUUGUUGCUAAAAGAAGUUUCAUGAUGUAAACAAUAGGCAAUAGGGAGUGCCGAAUAAAUUACAUUCGAGUUUUCUAUUGAACAGACGCUUAGUCUCUAAUUUUCGUCUGGUCCAUAUGUUUCAGUUUGGUAAACUCUAGCCGAUACUAACAAGGUUGUAUCCUCAUUUUGCAUGAAUAGAGGAUAAUGAAGACAGAAUAUGCCUUAUUUAUUUCAAAUCCGUUCAGCGCGGAAAAAUAUAGUGGCAUGAAUAAACAAGUUUUAUCAGCAGGUGUUAUGAGAAAUUACAUCACCACAACAUAUUUUGUUGAUUUGGUCAGAGAACGUCUUCGUUGUUGGGCAGAUUACCAAAAUUCGAUUAGGUAUUUUUAAUAUAAUUAGGCGCUGAAUUCAUCUUUAUUUGGAAUUGAUCUGUCCAAUGUUCAGGGUGUAUU